rnacentral:rRNA from 1 species
UACGUAGGGGGCAAGCGUUGUUCGGAAUUACUGGGCGUAAAGGGCGCGUAGGCGGCCCGAGCAAGUCGGGAGUGAAAGCCCGGGGUUCAACCCCGGAACGGCUCACGAAACUGCGGGGCUCGAGUGCGGAAGAGGCAAUCGGAAUUCCCAGUGUAGCGGUGAAAUGCGUAGAUAUUGGGAAGAACACCGGAGGCGAAGGCGGAUUGCUGGGCCGACACUGACGCUGAGGCGCGAAAGCCAGGGGAGCAAACGGG